rnacentral:rRNA from 1 species
UGCCAGCAGCCGCGGUAAUACGGAGGGGGUUAGCGUUGUUCGGAAUUACUGGGCGUAAAGCGCGCGUAGGCGGAUUAGAAAGUUGGGGGUGAAAUCCCGGGGCUCAACCUCGGAACUGCCUCCAAAACUGCUAGUCUAGAGUUCGAGAGAGGUGAGUGGAAUUCCAAGUGUAGAGGUGAAAUUCGUAGAUAUUUGGAGGAACACCAGUGGCGAAGGCGGCUCACUGGCUCGAUACUGACGCCGAGGUACGAAAGUGUGGGGAGCAAACAGGAUUAGAUA